rnacentral:rRNA from 1 species
UAGAUUAAGUUAUUAAGGGCGCACGGUGGAUGCCUUGGCACUAGAAGCCGAUGAAGGACGUUACUAACGACGAUAUGCUUUGGGGAGCUGUAAGUAAGCUUUGAUCCAGAGAUUUCCGAAUGGGGAAACCCAGCAUGAGUUAUGUCAUGUUAUCGAUAUGUGAAUACAUAGCAUAUCAGAAGGCACACCCGGAGAACUGAAACAUCUUAGUACCCGGAGGAAGAGAAAGAAAAUUCGAUUCCCUUAGUAGCGGCGAGCGAAACGGGAAGAGCCCAAACCAACAAGCUUGCUUGUUGGGGUUGUAGGACACUCUAUACGGAGUUACAAAGGACGACAUUAGACGAAUCAUCUGGAAAGAUGAAUCAAAGAAGGUAAUAAUCCUGUAGUCGAAAAUGUUGUCUCUCUUGAGUGGAUCCUGAGUACGACGGAGCACGUGAAAUUCCGUCGGAAUCUGGGAGGACCAUCUCCUAAGGCUAAAUACUCUCUAGUGACCGAUAGUGAACCAGUACCGUGAGGGAAAGGUGAAAAGCACCCCGGAAGGGGAGUGAAAUAGAACCUGAAACCGUGUGCUUACAAGUAGUCAGAGCCCGUUAAUGGGUGAUGGCGUGCCUUUUGUAGAAUGAACCGGCGAGUUACGAUUUGAUGCAAGGUUAAGCAGUAAAUGUGGAGCCGUAGCGAAAGCGAGUCUGAAUAGGGCGUUUAGUAUUUGGUCGUAGACCCGAAACCAGGUGAUCUACCCUUGGUCAGGUUGAAGUUCAGGUAACACUGAAUGGAGGACCGAACCGACUUACGUUGAAAAGUGAGCGGAUGAACUGAGGGUAGCGGAGAAAUUCCAAUCGAACCUGGAGAUAGCUGGUUCUCUCCGAAAUAGCUUUAGGGCUAGCCUCAAGUGAUGAUUAUUGGAGGUAGAGCACUGUUUGGACGAGGGGCCCCUCUCGGGUUACCGAAUUCAGACAAACUCCGAAUGCCAAUUAAUUUAACUUGGGAGUCAGAACAUGGGUGAUAAGGUCCGUGUUCGAAAGGGAAACAGCCCAGACCACCAGCUAAGGUCCCAAAAUAUAUGUUAAGUGGAAAAGGAUGUGGCGUUGCCCAGACAACUAGGAUGUUGGCUUAGAAGCAGCCAUCAUUUAAAGAGUGCGUAAUAGCUCACUAGUCGAGUGACACUGCGCCGAAAAUGUACCGGGGCUAAACAUAUUACCGAAGCUGUGGAUUGUCCUUUGGACAAUGGUAGGAGAGCGUUCUAAGGGCGUUGAAGCAUGAUCGUAAGGACAUGUGGAGCGCUUAGAAGUGAGAAUGCCGGUGUGAGUAGCGAAAGACGGGUGAGAAUCCCGUCCACCGAUUGACUAAGGUUUCCAGAGGAAGGCUCGUCCGCUCUGGGUUAGUCGGGUCCUAAGCUGAGGCCGACAGGCGUAGGCGAUGGAUAACAGGUUGAUAUUCCUGUACCACCUAUAAUCGUUUUAAUCGAUGGGGGGACGCAGUAGGAUAGGCGAAGCGUGCGAUUGGAUUGCACGUCUAAGCAGUAAGGCUGAGUAUUAGGCAAAUCCGGUACUCGUUAAGGCUGAGCUGUGAUGGGGAGAAGACAUUGUGUCUUCGAGUCGUUGAUUUCACACUGCCGAGAAAAGCCUCUAGAUAGAAAAUAGGUGCCCGUACCGCAAACCGACACAGGUAGUCAAGAUGAGAAUUCUAAGGUGAGCGAGCGAACUCUCGUUAAGGAACUCGGCAAAAUGACCCCGUAACUUCGGGAGAAGGGGUGCUCUUUAGGGUUAACGCCCAGAAGAGCCGCAGUGAAUAGGCCCAAGCGACUGUUUAUCAAAAACACAGGUCUCUGCUAAACCGUAAGGUGAUGUAUAGGGGCUGACGCCUGCCCGGUGCUGGAAGGUUAAGAGGAGUGGUUAGCUUCUGCGAAGCUACGAAUCGAAGCCCCAGUAAACGGCGGCCGUAACUAUAACGGUCCUAAGGUAGCGAAAUUCCUUGUCGGGUAAGUUCCGACCCGCACGAAAGGCGUAACGAUUUGGGCACUGUCUCAACGAGAGACUCGGUGAAAUCAUAGUACCUGUGAAGAUGCAGGUUACCCGCGACAGGACGGAAAGACCCCGUGGAGCUUUACUGUAGCCUGAUAUUGAAAUUCGGCACAGCUUGUACAGGAUAGGUAGGAGCCUUUGAAACGUGAGCGCUAGCUUACGUGGAGGCGCUGGUGGGAUACUACCCUAGCUGUGUUGGCUUUCUAACCCGCACCACUUAUCGUGGUGGGAGACAGUGUCAGGCGGGCAGUUUGACUGGGGCGGUCGCCUCCUAAAAGGUAACGGAGGCGCUCAAAGGUUCCCUCAGAAUGGUUGGAAAUCAUUCAUAGAGUGUAAAGGCAUAAGGGAGCUUGACUGCGAGACCUACAAGUCGAGCAGGGUCGAAAGACGGACUUAGUGAUCCGGUGGUUCCGCAUGGAAGGGCCAUCGCUCAACGGAUAAAAGCUACCCCGGGGAUAACAGGCUUAUCUCCCCCAAGAGUUCACAUCGACGGGGAGGUUUGGCACCUCGAUGUCGGCUCAUCGCAUCCUGGGGCUGUAGUCGGUCCCAAGGGUUGGGCUGUUCGCCCAUUAAAGCGGUACGCGAGCUGGGUUCAGAACGUCGUGAGACAGUUCGGUCCCUAUCCGUCGUGGGCGUAGGAAAUUUGAGAGGAGCUGUCCUUAGUACGAGAGGACCGGGAUGGACAUACCUCUGGUGUACCAGUUGUCGUGCCAACGGCAUAGCUGGGUAGCUAUGUAUGGACGGGAUAAGUGCUGAAAGCAUCUAAGCAUGAAGCCCCCCUCAAGAUGAGAUUUCCCAACUUCGGUUAUAAGAUCCCUCAAAGAUGAUGAGGUUAAUAGGUUCGAGGUGGAAGCAUGGUGACAUGUGGAGCUGACGAAUACUAAUCGAUCGAAGACUUAAUCAA